rnacentral:lncRNA from 1 species
GUAAUUUGGGAAGAAAACUUUAAAUUUCAGCCUCUCCACUCACCAGGAUAAAGAGAAUCCAGUUGAAUCUCUCCUUAAAGACAUUUAAUCCUUAAAAGCAUUUAGGUAAUUAGGAGGUCCUCUGCUCCCCCACCCGAUGACAUAAUAAGUUAAAGAAUUUAUUCUUGGUAUUGACAGCAUGGACAAUGCAAACAAAUCCCAUGGCUACCAUCCUAUACCAACACUCUUGUCAAGUCGCCAUCCCCAGCAUCCUAAAUUUUUAAGCAUCAAAGACCAAAACUCCCACAUUAAAGAACGUGGUUAGGUUAAGUUAUCCUGUCUCACUUGUCUUUAACUUUUUUCUUCUUUCCCGAAGAGUGUUUGUGUAUUUUUUCUCGAAAGUUCUUUGGUGGUGUUUUGAGAUAAGAACAAUCACAAAACACUUCAAACACAGGGUGUGGUGAAAAUGUUGACUAAAAAUGACGAGGUUUGUAACUAUUGCUGACGAUCACAGCGGCCUAUUUUAAUUUAGAGGGCGCCAGUUGCACGUCAGAGAGGGAUUCAGAAGCUACCGGGCACACCGCCCAGGGCCAGGAAUCUCUAAGAUCACCUUGACGCCACUAAAGUUUCCGUACCAGGCCCAGUUUAGAACUGACGAGAGGAGCCUCCUCCUGGUCGAGCCAGUCUUUCAGAUUUCGCGGCUGCUACUACAGUGCCAGGAAUUCCAAAUUUUCUCUUUCUGGAGGCAAAACCCGGUCUGCAUCUGGCGCGGCCCUGGGGACAGUGUGAAAGAAGACACUCAGGAUGGCUCAGGGAUCCGGGGAUCAACGAGCAGUGGGAACUGCUGACCCAGAGGAGAGUUCUCCCAAUAUGAUUGUCUACUGCAAAGACUAGACUUGCUGGAAGAAUAGCUUUCUAUCAUAUUAUCUUGGUUGGCAGGAGACAGGCAUGUCAGCAAGUCCCAGACCAGUGAUAUCGGUGUCUACAGAUGAAAGGGAUGGUAUUUUUAGUAUGGGAAAUAGCUCAGUGUGGUUUAAUAUGAUGUGUUUCUAUGAGUAUAACUUUCUAAUUUGAAAAGCCUUUGGUGUGUUUAAGACUUCAUUUCAUCUUUCCAUUUUUUCCCCCUCAUUUCAUUUCAAAGUGUCUAGGAGUUUGCAUUUUGGCAGACAGUUUAUUUUGCCAUUGACACUCUUGCGCAGUAUCCUUAAGCUAUAGAGAGCUUGAAUGGCCAUAAAUUCCCUACUGGCAUGAGUUUGAACAAGUAAAAUUAAAUGCUAAUAUAAAACUGUGAAAAGGAAAAUAAACAAGUUUUAAAAUCAUGGGAGAUGUAAAGAUUGUUUUUAAGGAUUCUGUUAGCUUGCUAAUACAAAUCAAAACAGAAGAUGGGCAAAUCUUUUGAUUAGCCUUCUCAAUUCUCAAAAAUAUCUUAGUGAAGGAAUGGAAAAUAUAUGAAAAGAUAAGCAUCUGGACAUAUACCCAUCCCAAAAGAAUAUUGGUAGAUUCAUGGUAAAUAAUAUCUAAAAUUUGGAACUAAAUCAAAUAUCCAUUGAGAGAGAACUAGUUAAGCAACUAUAGAGGGAUAGGAUUCCAUUUAGAAUGAUGCCACAGUUAGUUUGCUGGGUUCUUGUUGUAGACCUAAUAAUUGCCUAAUAAUUGCCUAAUAAUUGCCAGAUGGCAACUGACAUUCUAGGAUAUGGUCAGGGUAAACAUUCUUUAUUUUAAAAAAAGACAUUAUCAUUUUUAAAUAAAAUUUUGUUUUAUUUUAUAAAUAUGAUGGUUAUGUAGAUUUGCUUAGAAAUUAUCCUUUCCAUUGCUCUUUAUUAUUUUCUGGGAUCACUUUUAUUUUGACUGGAGAACUAUGUAAUUUCUUUUUAGUGCAGAUCUACAGA